rnacentral:lncRNA from 1 species
GGACGGGGGUGCUCUUCCUUGGCUCCCCAUUGAUGCUGCAGGGCAUCCCGAGCCGAGCUCAAAGGGUGGCUUUUGUAGAUGCCCCCCACUCAGAUCAGGGGUGCACUCGUAGAAUCCUGCGGACGGAGGUGCUCUUCUUCUGCUCCCCAUUUGCGCCGCAGGGCACCCCGAGCUGAGCUCAAAGGGUGACUUUGUAGAUGGUACCUGCAGUUGUGAGACUCUCGAGCCCUCGCUUAGUCCUGCAGGGCACCCCGAAGCAAGCUCCGGGGGCGACUUUAUAAAGUUGUCGGCAUACGACUCGCGCUUAUCAAGCAUGCGCUGAGCUUCCUAGGGUACUUCAGAGAUGCCUUGGGAGAAUUAUGGAUUACGGUCUAAGGGAGAGAGCCCUGACCUGAAGGAGGCUAAGGUCCUUCCUUGAGGAAGUAAUUUACAUUUGGGGUUCCCAGCCUCGGGCCGGUGAGCGCGGCCUCUUCUCGGCUCCUUGGGGUCAGGGCGGCAUCAACGUAAGACUUAUAGGCUGGGUAUUGGUAGUACCCGCAUCGGGCCGUCCGUCGUCGGUUCGUUAGAUGGUCUCAAAGUCUGCCCAUCAAGCUCUGCUCUAUUGGUUGACCCGCCAACGAAUCGACUCAGAUGGCCUUAGCGGACGAUCACUUUGAUUUUAUCACGGAGCUGAUAGCAAUCCUCCGUGUCGUGGCCAUGAUCUCUAUGGAA